rnacentral:rRNA from 1 species
CUCCGGGGCGACCCUGCCUUCGGGCGGGGGCUCCGGGUGGACACUUCAAACUCUUGCGUAACUUUGCAGUCUGAGUAAACUUAAUUAAUAAAUUAAAACUUUUAACAACGGAUCUCUUGGUUCUGGCAUCGAUGAAGAACGCAGCGAAAUGCGAUAAGUAAUGUGAAUUGCAGAAUUCAGUGAAUCAUCGAAUCUUUGAACGCACAUUGCGCCCCCUGGUAUUCCGGGGGGCAUGCCUGUUCGAGCGUCAUUUCACCACUCAAGCCUCGCUUGGUAUUGGGCAACGCGGUCCGCCGCGUGCCUCAAAUCGACCGGCUGGGUCUUCUGUCCCCUAAGCGUUGUGGAAACUAUUCGCUAAAGGGUGUUCGGGAGGCUACGCCGUAAAACAACCCCAUUUCUAAGGUUGACCUCGGAUCAGGUAGGGAUACCCGCUGAACUUAAGCAUAUCAAU